CCAAAGCUUUGGUGCAAAGAUUCAAGUUUCAUCUACUGCAUUCGGUAGUUCCAAUGUGGCCUCCUCUGCAUCAGUGAGACUAAGUGCAGGCUAGGCAACUGAUUUGUAAAGCCUGCACCCUGUCCGUAAUGGCUAUCCCAAAAUCCCAGUUGCAUGUCAUUUCAGUUCCCCUUCCCUCUCCUAUACUGAUCAUUCCAUCUUUAUUCUUUUCUACUGCCAGGAUGAGGCCCAGUGUGGACAACAAAGCCUAGGGACAACAGCCUCUAUUCCUCCUGAGAGGUCUACAACCCAAUGGCAUGAACAUUGAAUCUUCCACUUUCAGAUUCCGGUAUCUUCAAAAGGUGAUGCCUCAAAAAGGAAGUAUCCAUCAUUUAAGACCCCCCAUGGCCCAGGACAUGCCCUCUUCUCAUAACUACCAUCAGAGAGAAAGCAUAGGAAACUGAAGACACACAUGCACCAUGCAAUGUUUGAGAAAUGAUUUCUUCUCCUCCACCAUGAGAUUUCUGAACAGAGAAUAAACCUAUGAAUGCUACUUCAAUGUUUUUGUUCUCUUUUUGCACUGAUUAUUUAAUAUUUUUGUAUAUAUUUCUUAUUGUAUUUUUAUAAUAUACUUUAUGUAUAUAUUGCAUGGUACUGCUGAUAAAAAACAACAAAUUUCAUGAAAUAUGUCAAUGAUAAUAAACCUGAUUCUGAUUC